GGAAUCUUCGGCAAUGGGCGCAAGCCUGAUGGAGCAACGCCGCGUGAGUGAAGAAGGUCUUCGGAUCGUAAAACUCUGUUGUUAGAGAAGAACAUGCAGGAGAGUAACUGUUCUUGUAUUGACGGUAUCUAACCAGAAAGCCACGGCUAACUACGUGCCAG
rnacentral:rRNA from 1 species